CCUACGGGUGGCAGCAGUGAGGAAUAUUGGUCAAUGGGCGCGAGCCUGAACCAGCCAAGUAGCGUGAAGGAUGACUGCUCUACGGGUUGUAAACUUCUUUUAUAAAGGAAUAAAGUGAGGCACGUGUGCCUUUUUGUAUGUACUUUAUGAAUAAGGAUCGGCUAACUCUGUGCAAGCAGCCGCGGUAAUACGGAGGAUCCGAGCGUUAUCCGGAUUUAGUGGGGUUAAAGGGCGCGUAGAUGGGUUGUUAAGUCAGUUGUGAAAGUUGACGGCUCAACCGUAAAAUUGCAAUUGAUACUGGCAGCCUUGAGUACAGUUGAGGUAGGCGGAAUUCGUGGUGUAGCGGUGAAAUGCUUAGAUAUCACGAAGAACUCCGAUUGCGAAGGCAGCUUACUAAACUGCCACUGACAUUGAUGCUCGAAAGUGUGGGUAUCAAACAGGAUUAGAUACCCCAGUAGUC
rnacentral:rRNA from 1 species